rnacentral:rRNA from 1 species
GACGAACGCUGGCGGCGUGCCUAAUACAUGCAAGUUGAGCGAUGAAGCUUGGUGCUUGCACCAAUUUGAAGAGCAGCGAACGGGUGAGUAACGCGUGGGGAAUCUGCCUUUGAGCGGGGGACAACAUUUGGAAACGAAUGCUAAUACCGCAUAAUAACUUUAAACAUAAGUUUUAAGUUUGAAAGAUGCAAUUGCAUCACUCAAAGAUGAUCCCGCGUUGUAUUAGCUAGUUGGUGAGGUAAAGGCUCACCAAGGCGAUGAUACAUAGCCGACCUGAGAGGGUGGUCGGCCACAUUGGGACUGAGACACGGCCCAAACUCCUACGGGAGGCAGCAGUAGGGAAUCUUCGGCAAUGGACGAAAGUCUGAACGAGCAACGCCGCGUGAGUGAAGGAGGGUUUCGGAUCGUAAAACUCUGUUGGUAGAGAAGAACGUUGGUGAGAGUGGAAAGCUCAUCAAGUGACGGUAACUACCCAGAAAGGGACGGCUAACUACGUG